UACGGAGGGUGCAAGCGUUAAUCGGAAUAACUGGGCGUAAAGCGAGCGCAGGCGGUUUCUUAAGUCUGAUGUGAAAGCCCCGGGCUCAACCUGGGAACUGCAUUUCGAACUGUCCGACUAGAGUCUUGUAGAGGGGGGUAGAAUUCCAGGUGUAGCGGUGAAAUGCGUAGAGAUCUGGAGGAAUACCGGUGGCGAAGGCGGCCCCCUGGACAAAGACUGACGCUCAGGUGCGAAAGCGUGGGGAGCAAAC
rnacentral:rRNA from 1 species